AGAGUUUGAUCCUGGCUCAGGACGAACGCUGGCGGCGUGCCUAACACAUGCAAGUCGAGCGAUGAAAUCCCUUCGGGGAUGGAUUAGCGGCGGACGGGUGAGUAACACGUGGGUAACCUGCCUCAAAGAGGGGGAUAGCCUCCCGAAAGGGAGAUUAAUACCGCAUAACAUUAGUUUUUCGCAUGGAGAACUAAUUAAAGGAGUAAUCCGCUUUGAGAUGGACCCGCGGCGCAUUAGCUAGUUGGUGAGGUAAAGGCUCACCAAGGCGACGAUGCGUAGCCGACCUGAGAGGGUGAUCGGCCACAUUGGAACUGAGACACGGUCCAGACUCCUACGGGAGGCAGCAGUGGGGAAUAUUGCACAAUGGGCGAAAGCCUGAUGCAGCAACGCCGCGUGAGUGAUGAAGGCCUUCGGGUUGUAAAGCUCUGUCUUUGGGGACGAUAAUGACGGUACCCAAGGAGGAAGCCACGGCUAACUACGUGCCAGCAGCCGCGGUAAUACGUAGGUGGCGAGCGUUGUCCGGAUUUACUGGGCGUAAAGGAUGCGUAGGUGGAUGUUUAAGUCAGAUGUGAAAUACCCGAGCUUAACUUGGGUGCUGCAUUUGAAACUGGACAUCUAGAGUGCAGGAGAGGUAAGUGGAAUUCCUAGUGUAGCGGUGAAAUGCGUAGAGAUUAGGAAGAACACCAGUGGCGAAGGCGACUUACUGGACUGUAACUGACACUGAGGCAUGAAAGCGUGGGUAGCAAACAGGAUUAGAUACCCUGGUAGUCCACGCCGUAAACGAUGAGUACUAGGUGUAGGGGGGUCCAACCUUCUGUGCCGCAGUUAACACAAUAAGUACUCCGCCUGGGAAGUACGAUCGCAAGAUUAAAACUCAAAGGAAUUGACGG
rnacentral:rRNA from 1 species